rnacentral:rRNA from 1 species
AUUGAACGUUGGCGGCAGGCCUAAAACAUGCAAGUCGAACGGUAACAGCGAGAGCUUGCUCUCGGCUGACAAGUGGCGAACGGGUGAGUAACACGUAGGAAUCUACCCAAUAGUGGGGACGAACCCGGGAAACCCGGGCGUAAUACGCACUACGCUCUCCUAUCGAAGGAGUAAGGAAAGGAAAGGACGGGGGAGUCGUUCGGACCUCGCGCUAUUGGAGGAGCCUGCGUCGGAUUAGCUAGUUGGUAGGGAAAGUACCUACCAAGGCGACGAUCCGUAGCUGGUCUGAGAGGACGAUCA